rnacentral:tRNA from 1 species
GGCGCCGUCGCCAAGUGGUAAGGCAAGGGUCUGCAAAACCCUUAUACGUGGGUUCGAAUCUCACCGGCGCCU